rnacentral:rRNA from 1 species
CAUGCAGUCGAACGGCAGCAUGAUCUAGCUUGCUAGAUUGAUGGCGAGUGGCGAACGGGUGAGUAAUACAUCGGAACGUGCCCUGUAGUGGGGGAUAACUAGUCGAAAGAUUAGCUAAUACCGCAUACGACCUGAGGGUGAAAGUGGGGGACCGCAAGGCCUCAUGCUAUAGGAGCGGCCGAUGUCUGAUUAGCUAGUUGGUGAGGUAAAGGCUCACCAAGGCGACGAUCAGUAGCUGGUCUGAGAGGACGAUCAGCCACACUGGGACUGAGACACGGCCCAGACUCCUACGGGAGGCAGCAGUGGGGAAUUUUGGACAAUGGGGGCAACCCUGAUCCAGCAAUGCCGCGUGUGUGAAGAAGGCCUUCGGGUUGUAAAGCACUUUUGUCCGGAAAGAAAUCGCACUUACUAAUAUUAGGUGUGGAUGACGGUACCGGAAGAAUAAGGACCGGCUAACUACGUGCCAGCAGCCGCGGUAAUACGUAGGGUCCAAGCGUUAAUCGGAAUUACUGGGCGUAAAGCGUGCGCAGGCGGUUGUGCAAGACCGAUGUGAAAUCCCCGGGCUUAACCUGGGAAUUGCAUUGGUGACUGCACGGCUAGAGUGUGUCAGAGGGGGGUAGAAUUCCACGUGUAGCAGAGAAAUGCGUAGAGAUGUGGAGGAAUACCGAUGGCGAAGGCAGCCCCCUGGGAUAACACUGACGCUCAUGCACGAAAGCGUGGGGAGCAAACAGGAUUAGAUACCCUGGUAGUCCACGCCCUAAACGAUGUCAACUAGUUGUUGGGGAUUCAUUUCCUUAGUAACGUAGCUAACGCGUGAAGUUGACCGCCUGGGGAGUACCGUCG